rnacentral:snRNA from 1 species
AGAUGUGAGGGAAAUCUGGCUGUGGCAUCAUAACCCCUGAUCACCAAGGCUGACUGAGCUGACAUGGCUAGCUAAGCAGGUGUUCCCUUCCCUCUUCACUGCUCUGUGACCUUCCCAAGCCGCACUGAAGAGGAUGGCCUCCAUGAACAAAUGAUUCUCUUCAGCCAAGGUUGAAGUGUAGCUGGGUUUCUAUGCCACAGCCUCAAAAAAAGCUCUCAGCCAUGCAUGAUUGCUGCAUGUCUUAAUCUUUGAGGCCAGCAUCAUUUACAUGGUCAACAGAUUAAUUAAUUAAUUGAUUGAUUGACUGA